ensembl:lncRNA
UUGAGACCUGAGACUGGAAGCAAUUGCAAUGGGCACACACUGACACGCUGUUUAAGAAGGAGUCUCCAGUGUCAGCACUUUUGAACAGUCAGUAAGUUUUCCUCCACUGGAAAGUCUUGAGAGCAGAGGGCUUUGUGCUUUCUGGUUUCUUUGUAACAUGACAAGCUGUGGUUUUCUUGUCAAAUAACUUCGAGAGGGAAAAAAAGGCUGUUAUGAUUGAGGUCACAAGCCUGCAAGGUGCUGUCCUUGCCUUCCUGUCUGUCUCCACCGUGAGCUUCAUCUGUGCUCUCUGCAUACGCUGUAGGAAGAAAACUAUGAUUGUACAGGAGAGUAACCAACUCUAUGUUCCACAAAUAUUUCACCGAGGGGGGAGCAAAUUUGCUGUGACAAGGUCAAAAACAGUGACGAGAACUAACCAGAUGAGCACAAAUCCGUGUCAGAGUUCGGGGGAAAUAACUGUCGCACACACACCUAAGAGCCAGCUGGAGACAGCUGUCCAGGACCAGGGGGGCAGUUACGAGAACAUUAAACAAUCAAUUCAUGGUAGUAUGGAACCCACCUAUGUAGAUCCAAUAUCAACACCGCCACACAAUAACAAUGUUUUACAUGAUGAUGACAUCGGAGACUACGCAAAUAUUUUUCCAACGCAAGAUGUUCAACAUGACUCAGACAGUUACGAUUAUGAAAACACAGAAUUCCUGCAAAACAGCAAACCUGACGACGAUGGUAACGAGCAGUACUGUUAUUUACUGAUAAUCGUGAUGUUGAUGGAUGAUGAUACACCAAUGUUCACUUUUUACCGUUAUCUUUCUAACAGAUGAGCCAGAUUACGUCAACGCAGACACGGCUAACAACUAACACAUAAAUAAAGUUUUACACUGUUAUCCAAGUUAGAUUAAAUAAGUAUUAGAAUAUAUUGGCAUAUUUAAUAGCACAGAAGCAAUGUAGUAUCAAUGAAUUGAAUGCUUCAUGGUUUGCAUGUUGGUCUUAUUUGAACUUUUAGUAUAACUUUUAGAUCCAUGUAAUAAAGGCACGUCAUUGUGUGUGAAGAGUAAGCAAAUUUCUUUUUAUGGAAUGAGAAACAGUAUAAUCGAUGUUUUAAGUGCCACUACAUUGAAAAUAAAAUCUUCCUGAUUUUGGUUUGAGUAGUAAUGACCAUUUCCUAAUAUUUCUCUUUAUAUUACUUUAUAAUAUUUAAUUAUAUGUAUAUUAUUUUAAUAUUCUAUUAUAUGAUGUGAUGCACUCAUGAUAUUUUGUGUUCAUUAUCAUAUCUGGAUAUCUGUAGUUUUCCUGCAAAUAAAAUUCCCCAAGUAUGGAACUUGAUUUACAUCAUUAUUACUGUUUAUCAUCUCAGCAACUAUAAUGAACUUAUGUUUGGAUUUUAAAAUAAAUGCUGCAACAUGGUGACCUAUGCUGCACAUUUCUACCAUCGCAACUUAAUACACAUUUUAGACGGUUUUGUCAAUUCUUGCUUGUAGAUGUAAAUGUAAAGAUUAUGGCAGCACUUGUUACAACACGUUUGUCCUUUAAUUAGAAUAAAAUCCAGAAUAAAAUGAGCACAACAUGGCAUUCAGUUAAAUUAUUCCUGAGUCCAGUUAAUGCAGAAGCCCAUCCACCUGAGUCAAGUAAUUAACGGUGUAGAAGGCUGAUGGCUCAGGUGUGUUUAAUGAUGGAACGCAAAUAUGAAGAACUAUAGAAACUGGAAUAAGAACCUUUUUGUUAUUUGGUUUUUGUUAUUUCGUAACUUACAUUUAAAAGGAAAAAGGAAGAAAAAACAUCUUAACUGUGGCCCCAUUAUUAAAUGAAAAGACGUCAUAAAUUGGAGAAUACUAGCAGGCUGAGACUGGACUACACCUACUUAAAAGAAACUGCAGUUUCUUCAGAUGAGCAAAUAUGAACCAGAAUGUUGCCACAAUUGAAUUAAAUUAAAAGAAAACUUCAUAGCCUCUCCAGACUUAUUAUCCAAUUAUUGACUGGCUUCAGAACAAUGAUCACA